AUCAUGGCCCUUACGAGUAGGGCUACACACGUGCUACAAUGGUCGGUACAAAGGGUUGCCAACUCGCGAGAGUGAGCCAAUCCCGAAAAGCCGAUCUCAGUCCGGAUCGGAGUCUGCAACUCGACUCCGUGAAGUCGGAAUCGCUAGUAAUCGUAGAUCAGAAUGCUACGGUGAAUACGUUCCCGGGCCUUGUACACACCGCCCGUCACACCAUGGGAGUGGACUGCACCAGAAGUGGUUAGCCUAACGCAAGAGGGCGAUCACCACGGUGUGGUUCAUGACUGGGGUGAAGUCGUAACAAGGUAGCCGUAGGGGAACCUGCGGCUGGAUCACCUCCUUA
rnacentral:ncRNA from 1 species